UGGGAUGAUGAGGCCACAGGUCAAGGAAUGCCAGCAGCCACCAGGGGCUGGAAGAGGCAGGGACUAGGUUUUC